CAACUGUGUGAAUUAAUGCAAACUGCAUACUGCUUUGAACAUCGACAUCUUGAACGCAUAUUGCGGCCAUGGGUUAGCCUGUGGCCACGCCUGUCCGAGGGUCGGCUUAUAAACUAUCACGACGCCCAAAUAGUCGUGGCUUGGGUUUUGCCAGCUGGCGUGAUUUCCUCUGUGAGCUCUCAUAAGAGGUGCCAGAUCUAUGGCGUUUCCCUAAUGUUUCCGGAUGCAUCCUUGUCUGGCAGAAAGCCAUGAUGAGGUGCAGUGACGGAGUCGUGGUUUAAUGUGGCUAUGCCCCGUUUUCAGCGUGUUUGGCCAUUUAGUCGGCACGCUUAUGACUACGGGUGGAGCUAUGCUCGGGUUGGUGCUCGACUAUCAGUGAGUUUGGCGAUUCCAGUCGGCUCACUUAUGAUUUUCGGGGUAAUUCCAUACCAUGCACGUUUCGUUACUGUUGCCUCGUUGCUGGUUCGAUGUUGGCUUGGGUCCAUGUGUCCGACGAAUGCCUCAUUGCAGACUGUCUCGUACAGACUGCUUCCUGACCUCGGUUCAGACGUGAUUACCCGCUGAACUUAAGCAUAUCACUAAGCGGAGGAAAAGAAACUAACCAGGAUUCCCUCAGUAACGGCGAGUGAAGAGGGAAGAGCCCAGCACCGAAGCCUGUGGCUGUUUGGCCCCUAGGCAAUGUGGUGUUCAGGUUGGCUCGCGGGGAUACUGCUCCAUCCUAAGUCCUAUAAUGAGUAAGGUUACUCGGACAUGGCCCAAUGAGGGUGAAAGGCC
rnacentral:rRNA from 1 species